CAUGCUUCUUGAGAAACCCCAGAAUAGAGUUCCUAUCAUAGAGAACCAGAGGGGAGUCCACCCCCAGCACUGAAGAUGUAUUCCAAACAUUCUAGCAGGGUUCCAUGUGAGGUACGGGACCAGGUGAGAGGAGGAGAGCCUGCCUGAGACAAGUGAGGUAGGUAGUCACCUAGAAGACAUGUUUUAAGGAAACAAAGACCCAUUCACCUACAGAUCUGUCUACCAUGAGUCUUUCAAAUACAAUUAGAGCCAAUCCUUUGGAUUAAAAAUUAUUGGCUCAAACUGGCCUUUUCAACUAGAGGCAUGGAAACACACUAUGACCUGUCUUUUAAAAUCUUAGCACCAACAAUUCAUUAAGUGUAUAUCUUUGACUCAGUCACCCAUCAAGACUUUGAGACAACGCACAGAACAGAUCAUCUUUGGUGGAAGUUAGAAGGGCAAAAUACUGCUUGAGGUGAAGAUGUCAGGGUUGAAAGAAGGCAACAAAUAAACAAGAAGUCUUAUUAGUGGAGACAGCAAGAAAGCCUGGAAAAGAUGGUGCCAAACUGGAAAAUACGGUGCUAAUGAGCAUAGGAAUGGGAACACCAAAGACCAACCUUACUUAGCCAUCAGAUUGUCUGCAUCAGUACUGUAGAGAGGCUACUAAAGGGAACUAUUGCAGAAGGAAAACAGUCUGAAAGAGACGUUAUAGAGGGAAAGAACUUGAAGAAAUUGAAGGAUUCUCAUACUUUGGAAAAAAAACAAGUCAACAUUUCGAUUUCAAACAUCAAAAAAGGUGUCCAGAAAUCUCAAGAAUUUAAGACAUCCUAAGGAACUUUAAGUGCUGUGAGCCACAAGUAACAUCAAGAAAAGAGAGGAAUGAAGAACCACACUUACAAGCUAAGUAUAAGCUUAUCCUACACAUGUCAUUUGGGCCAGACCAACGCUGCUCUCCCAGAGGAUCCAGACCACAGCUUGGGAACCAUUCAUCUACCACAUGACUUCAAAUGACUCCUCUAGGGACCACCUGCCAUGCUCGGGUACCAGCUCUUCCUCUGAAUUCCCAAUCCAUUUCUUAAGAACUAUUGUUUUUUAUAAGGGAGAGAAGAACGGGAUGUGCAGAAUCCAGGCAAACCUGUUAUCUGGACUGUCAGGAAUGGGAAGCAGCAUUUCCAGAUCCCAGCUGAACAACCAAACCAUCACGUAUGUUCAAAGGGCUUCUUAUUAAACACAUUUCAAAUCAAUUUGCAAACUUUAAAAAUCUGUCUUUAGUUUAAAAGCUCUAAAUAUUAAAAAAUCAGUAAACUCUCCUUUAGCACAACCCCACCCUCUGCCAUUCUUCUCUUUCUCAGCACAAUGGCAUUACUGUUCUAACCACUCAAUAUUAUUCAAUAUCUUGUGUACUUUUAAGAAAAUUUUAGGCACAAGAAAAAAGUUUAUUUGUGAGGUGAGUUAACUCUUGUUUAAAAGAAAUGGGUGGGGUCAUAUAUAAACCUUACAAAAGGUUAAUGCAUAAAACACAAAUAUAGUUCAAUUUCCUUUUUAUGUGAUUAGAGAAACUUACCUACAGAGUUGCCUAUGACACCUACAAAAGAGGUGAUGAUAAGAAUGAUACAGUUCAUGCUGUUCAAUGGUUCCUUCGAACACCAGAUAUGUUAGUGUGAUUUACCUACAGAGUUGCCUAUGAUACCUACAAAAGAGGUGAUGAUAAGAAUGAUACUGUUCACGCUGUUCAAUGGUUCCUUAAAUUAACGAACACCAGAUAUGUUAGUGUGAUUCCUUUUUCCUCUUUCAAGUUCUUUAUUUACCACUCCAUGCCCUCCAGGUUAGCUGAGUUUAGUGCUCUGGAAUAAUGACUAGUCGAAUUCACUGCAAUUUUUCAAUAUGCAUAGCAUAGGGGCCAAAGGAGAACUUCCCUUCCACUCUCUGAAGGUUCACUGGCAAAAGGCAGAUUAGUAGGAGAAAUGGCAUACAAAUUACUAGCAUCCAUGAGGGAGAAACACAGAGUGAUUGCCUCAUACCCCGUGGGGUAGAGGUGUUUACAUACCCUACAUCUUAGGGGAAAGGAAAUGGAGACGUAUAGGUGACUUUAUGGGAACAGAAAACAAUUUUUAGGGGAAUUCACUGGACUUGAAGAACAUAUGAUGGCCUGGGACGAAGUCUGUUGGGCCUGCAGAGUGGACAAUGGUUUGUGACAAAAGUCUGUCCAGGUGUGUUGACAGAUUUCAGUCCUCCUUCCUGUGAUAGGAGAUGAGUUAAUGGAAACUCAGGGAAAACCUAAGGUAAUUGUUUUCUUCUUUGGUGGGUCCAGACUUUCAGCAGAUAAGGAAACUUCAGAGAACAAAUUUAUCCUGUGCUUUGGGAGAUAGGGAGGGGAGAAGGUCAGGGAGACCUUGAGGCUCCUUCAGUUCAGCACGUCAAAGGGCCAUAUUUUAGGGUAUCAGUUUCUGAGGCCCAACACUAGAAACAGGAACGUGUUAACAAUUCAGUUAAAAGGGAGAGAGAGAGAUGAACUGAGUGAAGUGCGUUGUAAUCCUUGCUGAGGUUAAGCCAGUGAUAGUUGGCUCUCAGGCGAUCAUGUUCACCCUCCUAGUGUCAGGGAGACAUCUUUACUGCUUUUCCUAACAGAAUGUAAGAGAUACUGUGGCAGGGCAGGGAAUUGGAAGCAGAUAGCAAUGUGGACAUCUGACUUUGUUAGCAAAUGACUAACCUGAAUACAAUGAAGUUAAACAUCUGCAGACAGUUUCUUGUUGUAGGCUUUUUAUAUCCAUGUGGAGUGGUGGGGUUGUGAUUUAGAAAGCUGAUGGGUUGUGAAUUACAUUUUUCACCUUUUAGUUUAAGGAUUGAAUAUGACACCUUUGGGUGGAAGAACACAUCAGUUGGAUUUUACUUUUUAAAAAAAUGCGACUGAGAGAAAGUGAAUCAGCUGUCUUUUGUAUUUAUUCAGGUUUCAUAGUGCUGACUCAGGGACAAGUGUCUUUGUUUUAUAUCAAAUUCUGGGUCUUCUUCAGCCGAAAUGAAUCAAAGAGACUCAGAGAAAUGUGAGUUGACUUUUUUAAAGGAAACAGAGGAGCAUCUGGUGUCAGAGCUUUUAGUCCAGAGUUUCAUAUGGAUGAUAGCUGUAGUGCUUUCUAGAAUUCUCAGGAAUUAAUUACAACCAGAUUUGUUUUUGUGGCAUUCACAUCCCAUCUAUUUGUCAACUGCUCAUCCACUUAUCCAACUUCUCCAUCUCCAUCUCCAUUUCUUUUUUCCAAGGAAAAUCACACAGGAAAAUAAUAGACUCAACUUGGAAACAUCAAAACAGUCAAAGCAGUCUUUCUGAGAACAAGGCUUAUAUCCCUCUGCUUGGUCUGUUUCCCUGAAAACACCCUGAAUGAUGUUUUUCCUAUGUUGAACUCUUCAAGAUCCAUAUUCUUAGACACUGGGCCAAAAAUAAUGGGCUGCCUUUCCCUAUGUGGGAUCUUGCCCUUCGACCUAAGCUGCCCACACAACCACUGAGCAAUAAUCCUGUUGGCCUCUUAGAGGGAAAUAAUGAAAACAAGAAAUUGUCCCUCCAACUUGAGGGUUUUUUUUCUCCAUAAGUCUUAAAGUUAAUGAGAGCAGUAAGAAUGCAUGUGGCUUUAGUAUAAAUAUAAAAACUAUUAACUGUAACGAUAGAGAAGAAUUCAUAAUUCAUAAUCAUUUCCAUCUUUCACGUCGAAUAUUUCAGGGUUUGGAAAAAACAUUUGCAUUGAUAUUUUUCUGUAGCCUAAAUUAUCCACAAGUAUUAUGUAUCACUAAAUUGUGUGUUCAACAUAAACACCAAAGUAUAUAACUUUGAAUAUUUCCACAAAUACAAUGGAUAAAAAGGUAAUUUUGUUCACGAGUCAAUGAAUUUCGGAAGUAGAGGUGGCAAUUCAAACAAACACUACGCUCCAAACCCAUCUCUUUGUGCUUCUUCAAGAAUCAAGAAUCAAGGCUACA